rnacentral:lncRNA from 1 species
CUCUCCCUCCCUAUUAUUAAUAUACAUAACAUAGCCGACAUAUACAUAGCAUUCUGUGUAUAGGUUGAGAUUUUUAUAAUAUGUUUAGGGAGUUGAGAUUUUUUGUAAUAUUACAAACAUAAGUUAUGUAUUUGUGUAGUUUUGAGAUAAAAGAUAAAGAAUUAGAGUUGGGCCCUUUUUGGCCCAUCCACGUUCUAUGCAGCUUUUGGGCUUUUAAUCUAUGGACUUUAAGUCCAUUUUCCUGCAUUGUAUACCACAGGUAUAUCAGCUCCUCUUUUCCAGCAUUUUUGGGUAUACCAUCGUGUAUAUAUUGCGUAUUAGCGUAGAAAAAUCAGCAUGUUUGCUUCCACAUUUAAUAUGAACCAACAUCAGCUGCCUUCCAGUGUAUAUAAGCUGUAUACAGUCGUAUAUCAUCUGUAUACAGGUGUAUACUAGCCUGUAUCAGUUGCUUUAGCGUGGAGCGGAUAUGCAAGAGGGGAGUCCGAUGGACUCCACGAAGGAUUUCAUGCAUAAAAAAAUAAGAAUUACUAAAUGCAUUAGAGGAAAUUCCGCGCGUGUCAUGGUAACAAAAUAGAGACAUACUUCAUGAGCACAAUGUUCUCAAAACAAUAGAUUCAAAAUGGAAUUAAGAAUUAGUAUAUAUUAUACCACUGGUAGCGACACAGAAUAAGGAAUAUCCAAAUUCACAAGUCAAAAUAAUAUUUCAGGCCAUUACAAGGUAAACUUUGCCAACAGCAAACAUCCAAAGUAGGAGCAUUAACAAGUAUAACUUGGUUUUUCAUGGUGAAGUUUUACUUAAAAAAACAUGCUUUGUUAUUUCAUCAAAAGGAAAAUUAACUUAGAUCCUUGGAGUAAAAUUAGGUUGUUUCACUUUAAGCAGGAAAAUACACAUUCAUUUUUGAACUCUUAAGAACUUCAUACACAAACUCUAAACUCUAAUACAUUUUCUAGCAAUCCAAAGAAGAGAAAGCAAACGGGGCAAAACUAGAAAAAAAGGCAAUCUUAAUUGAUGAUUUAAAAAAAAAGAUUUCGUUGUUUAAGCCUCUUGGAACGAAAAAAAAAACUAUUAUGCAUUCAUGACAACAAGCAGAUGCAGGAAUUUAAAGCUUGGAGAUUUUUUCUCCAAUAAACAAUGUAUAACAAAAAAACUUUCCAAUCAAAACACAAACAAAAACCUAAAUCCACUCUCGAUAUCAUUGCGAGAUACAUACUGCAACAUUAAACAUAAAAGGAACUUAAAAAGAGAAAAGAUGGGUUAUUUACCUAUCUUGGUGCAGCGACUGGAACUACAAACUCUUGUCGGAACAACUUCCACCACAAUUUUGAUUUGCUAUCGAAAUUUCAAUGAUUUGGAUGAAUUUUGAAAACACUGUGAAGAUUUCUUGGUUACAUAGGGUUAGAGGUGCGCACCUCCAGAACCCUCAAGUUUUUCCCCAAUUAAUCCUCUCAGAAUCCCCUUAGCCCCCACUAUCUAUUUAUAGGGAAAAUUGGGGGAAAAUAUUAUGAUUUUUCCAGAUUACAAUUUCAAAUUUUGGAUUCAAUUUCUUGAGAGGCUUUGAGUUCUGUUGUAGAACAAAAUUAAUUAUUAAUGGCCAUCAGAGGAUAUUGGAGAAAAGAGUCGUUUGACUUUGUUGGUCAAAGGAAUAAAUUAAUUCUUGCCCAAAUUAGUGAAUCAUGCAAUGAAUAUGUCAAAAACAUCUGCUUUUGAGCCAUAAAUGGCUAUACUGAAGGGGUAAGAUGGUAAAUUUAGAGGGCCGUCUAGGGUUUAGGGUGGUCGUUUUUGGUUACGUUGAAGUUAUGGGUGGUCGGGUCUUUACCGGGUCGGGUCUUUUCCGAGUCGGUUGGUCGUGGUUUGUUUGUUGUUGUCGAAUGUUGUUGAUGAUAACGCUAUUUUGCUAUUGCUGUUAAACACUAUUUGUUGUUGCUG